UACGUAGGGAGCAAGCGUUGUCCGGAUUCACUGGGUGUAAAGGGUGCGCAGGCGGGAGAGUAAGUCAGAGGUGAAAUCUCACAGCUUAACUGUGAAACUGCCUUUGAUACUGCUUUUCUUGAGUUCGGGAGAGGUUGAUGGAAUUCCAGGUGUAGCGGUGAAAUGCGUAGAUAUCUGGAAGAACACCAGUGGCGAAGGCGGUCAACUGGCCCGUAACUGACGCUCAUGCACGAAAGCGUGGGGAGCAAAC
rnacentral:rRNA from 1 species